GAUGAAGAACGUAGCGAAAUGCGAUACGUAAUGUGAAUUGCAGAAUUCAGUGAAUCAUCGAAUCUUUGAACGCAUAUUGCGCUCUCUGGUAUUCCGGAGAGCAUGCUUGUUUGAGUAUCAGUAAACACCUCAACUUCCAUAUCUUUUUUGAAAUGGGAGUUGGACUUGAGUGAUCCCAACGCUUUUCCUCACCGAAAAGCGGCGGGUUACUUGAAAUGCAGGUGCAGCUGGACUUUUCUCUGAGCUAUAAGCAUAUCUAUUUAGUCUGCCUAAAAAACAGAUUAUUACCUUUGCUGCAGCUAACAUAAAGGAGAUUAGUUCUUGUGCUGACUGAUGCAGGAUUCACAAAGACAGGCUUCGGCCGACUUUGUAAACUCGAUCUCAAAUCAAGUAAGACUACCCGCUGAACUUAAGCAUGUCAAUAAGCGGAGGA
rnacentral:misc_RNA from 1 species